AACGAACGCUGGCGGCGUGGAUAAGACAUGCAAGUCGAACGGGAUUAUUUUUGUAGCAAUACAGAAAUAAUUCAGUGGCGAACGGGUGCGUAACACGUGGGCAAUCUGCCGAAAAGUGGGGGAUAGCUCGCCGAAAGGCGAAUUAAUACCGCAUGUGGUGAGGGAUGACAUCUUCCUGAAUCCAAAGCCGGGGUCAAACCUGGCGCUUUUUGAGGAGCCCGCGGCCUAUCAGCUAGUUGGUGGGGUGAUGGCCUACCAAGGCGACGACGGGUAGCCGGCCUGAGAGGGCGACCGGCCACACUGGGACUGAGACACGGCCCAGACUCCUACGGGAGGCAGCAGUGGGAAUCUUGCGCAAUGGGCGAAAGCCUGACGCAGCGACGCCGCGUGAGGGAUGGCGGCCUGGUGUAAC
rnacentral:rRNA from 1 species